AUAUUUUCUGACAACAAUAAUAUCCAAACUUCAGUUUGGAUUCAGUCUAAAUCUCGGUGGCACAGGUCGAACGCUGUUAUUUGAGGGUCAGCCUGACCACCUCGUUCCAGCCACAUCAGAGGCCCUUAUUGAAAGCAAUCUCUUCCAGGUUGCUGGAAGGAUGUUGGCUCAUUCCUUCUUGCAUGAUGGCCCAUGUGUGACAGGAUUAAGUCCGGCUAUAAUCCAUGUGUUGUUCAAUGGGGACCCAGAAAUUGCAACAAUUGUCACAGAAGACUGUCCCGAUCUACACAUCAGGAGCAUAAUAGAAAUGCUUGAAACUGAAGAACUUACUCAGGAGCAGGAGGACACUGUCUCAAAUCUAUCCAUGUCGUGGGAUCUUCCAGCAGUCACAAAAACAAAUAGGAGAUGG